GAUGAACGCUGGCGGCGUGCCUAAUACAUGCAAGUCGAGCGAACAGACGAGGAGCUUGCUCCUCUGACGUUAGCGGCGGACGGGUGAGUAACACGUGGAUAACCUACCUAUAAGACUGGGAUAACUUCGGGAAACCGGAGCUAAUACCGGAUCAUAUAUUGAACCGCAUGGUUCAAUAGUGAAAGCCGGUUUUGCUGUCACUUAUAGAUGGAUCCACGCCGCAUUAGCUAGUUGGUAAGGUAACGGCUUACCAAGGCAACGAUGCGUAGCCGACCUGAGAGGGUGAUCGGCCACACUGGAACUGAGACACGGUCCAGACUCCUACGGGAGGCAGCAGUAGGGAAUCUUCCACAAUGGGCGAAAGCCUGACGCAGCAACGCCGCGUGAGUGAUGAAGGUCUUCGGAUCGUAAAACUCUGUUAUUAGGGAAGAACAAAUGUGUAAGUAACUAUGCACGUCUUGACGGUACCUAAUCAGAAAGCCACGGCUAACUACGUG
rnacentral:rRNA from 1 species